GGGUCGUACCUUGUUUACAUUGAUUCAAGCGAUGAGGACAGAUUUGUAGUAAACAAUCUCAAACCUUUGGUUGAUGAAAGUAAUGGAAGGGACUAUUUGACCUCAGUCUGGACAGGUGGAGCGGAUGACCAAGUGGAAGGGUCCUGGGUAUGGUACGGAAAUGACCAGCCUAUCCUGGAAUAUACAAACUGGUAUCCAGGUCAGCCUGACAGCGGAAGUGGUGAUCAUGAUGAAGAUUGUAUAUGUCUUGUUGGAAACCAUGGUUACCUUUGGCAAGAUCAUAAAUGCACAGAGAAAAUGUAUUGGGUUUGUGAAAUGAUG